rnacentral:rRNA from 1 species
UCCUUAGACGUUCUGGGCCGCACGCGCGCUACACUGACACAGGCAACGAGCUUUCCUUUACCGAAAGGUAUGGGUAAUCUUUUGAAACUGUGUCGUGCUGGGGAUAGAUCCUUGCAAUUUUUGAUCUUAAACGAGGAAUUCCUAGUAAGCGCGAGUCAUCAACUCGCGUUGAUUACGUCCCUGCCCUUUGUACACACCGCCCGUCGCUACUACCGAUUGAAUGGCUUAGUGAGGCCUCAGGAUCCGCGCUUAAUGUGUGGAGAAGUUGGACAAACUACGUCAUUUAGAGGAAGUAAAAGUCGUAACA